UAACAGCGAGAGAAAAGACCACUGAGCAAAUCUAGGGAAAUGCAUAAUCUGGGUCCGGCACAAGUGAUCUUGGGCCACGCAGAAGCAGAGAAGAAGGAACACCUACCUCAUGGGAUGUCAUAAGGCUUCACGGAACGAGUGAUGUCUGAACUGAACCUUGAGGGAACACGGUUUUCCAGAGAAUGCUGAUGCUCCCCUCGGCCUUCUGCAACUGCUCUGAUCCAUUUAUUAAGUAAUCCAAAGGAUGGACAACUUUGAGGAGGGCCCAGAGAAAUAAAAAUCUUUUCAACAGGUUCAGGCUGCAGUGCAGAGAGCAAAAAGCCGGACUGACAGACUAAUGUGGGGACAGUGCCAAGUCCUGCUGGGGGAUUACAGAUGGCGGUGAACUGACUAUAGCACGUAGGCAUUCUCGUGGCCAACGUCUCCUGCAAAUACUCAAGGCGAAGGAAUUACAAGCUAAGAGACUACCUCAUCCCAGUGCUGCUUCUCGAGAGUUGAAAGGUGAACGCUCAGAAGGGCUGCUGGUCCACAGGGACAGCAGAUGGGAUGAUCCAGAGUAGUUUUGUGGUGCCUGGCACUCCCUUCUCUGGGGCUCCUCCCCUCUCUCUCCUUAAACUCAUUCUGACUACAUUAGUCAUUUUUGCUGAGGUAACAACCAACCUCAGAAUCUCUGGGCCUUACAACAGAGGCUGGUGAACUUUUUCUGCGAAGGGCCAGAUAGUAAAUAUUUUGGGCUUUGUGGGACAUCCGGUGUCUGUUACAGAUGCUCAGCUCUGUCCUUAGAGCAAGAAAGCCGUAGACAAUAUGUAAACGAAUGAGUGUGGCCAUGUUCUGACAAAACUUUAGGAAUACUAAAACUUGAACUUCAUAUAGUUUUUAAAUCCUGUUCUUUUGAUUAUGUUUUUAUUGAG